rnacentral:lncRNA from 1 species
AAAAUACUUGGCCAUUCCGUGUUACCCUGCUUACAUCAACAAUGUUUACCACAGAAGGAAUGGAGGGAAUAUGAACUUCCUUUCCAUUUUCUAGCAUUGUAGCAUUGUAUUUGUAAGGAAUAUCUUUACCUGAACUGUAAGGAAUUAGACCUGGUAAAUGAAUGACCAAGGGAUAAAUAGAGGAGUUCCGACUAUCAUAAGUAACCUCUAUGGGUUUAGGCGCAUUAAUCCGAGGGACU